rnacentral:misc_RNA from 1 species
UCCUACUUUCGUAGGCAGUCUGCUGUGAAAAAACAACACAGCACGAGGGUUGCGCUCGUUACCGGACUUAACCGUACAGCUCACGCCACGAGCUGACGACAACCAUGCAGCACCUGUUUAGCACCCUCGAAGGCGGCCUCCAUCUCUGGUGGCUUGCAGCUAAAUGUCAAGACUGGGUGAGGUUCCUCGCUUACCGUCGAAUUGAACCACAUGCUCCACCGCUUGUGCGGGUCCCCGUCAAUUCCUUUGAGUUUUAGUCUUGCGACCGUACUCCCCAGGCGGCACACUUAACGCGUUAGCUUGGUUAAGCGGCACUGAGAGGGUCGAUACUCCCAAUGCCUAGUGUGCAUCGUUUACGGCGUGGACUAC